GGCGAGCACACCUAGGCCAGACACUUAGCUCCUGCUCCCUCGGGUGGAACAGCCGGAUCUCUUGACUGCCUCACAGUGGUGUUUGUAACACAGCUGCUUCACCUUAGGCUUAGGAGAUAGCCACAGCCAGCUGGCUGCCCACUGGGCCUGGGUUUGGAGAAGAUGCUCGCUCAAGUGCCCAUGUCUGGAGGAUCUAGAACUUUGCAACACUCUUCUGGAGACGGCCCCGUCCUUUCUGACCCCCCACAUCUGGGAACUUGGUCUGUCAAGAUGGAACAUGCUCAAGAGGACGUGCGUGAAAGACACCACAGCACAGUCCGAGGUAACAACGCUACCAGCAAUUGGAGGCUCAUCUUGUAAGACAUUGAGAAGAAGAUGGCGGAGACUGUGGGAGGCGGGGCCUGACUGGAGGAAGGCGGGGCCUGACUGGAGGAAGUGACCUCUUCCUCUGUCCCCAUGUCUCUCUGCUUCCUGAUCGCCACGAGGCCAGUGAGUUUCGUUUUCUCGUACCCUCCCUUCACAGUGAGAAAAUGCCACCUAUCUCAAACACAGAAGAAUUAACUGCGUACUUGUUAACAGUUUUGUAUUCUCGGGCACACAUUUGGCUAUCCAGAGACGUUCUGAAGAGAAAGCAUUGCAGUGCUGGGAAUUAUACGCAUAACUUCCACGCACAGUUGGUUUUGUGUGUGUUUCUACCCGAUGCCUCUAUCUUGGCUGUGAAUUUGAUCAGUAGGGCAAACACCCCUAAGCAGUGGUAAUCGCUUGUGGACUGGCCCAGUAGACAGACAGUUCUCAGUCAGCACGGAGCACAGGGAAGAUCAAAGAUAAGGAAGGUUUCAGAACAGGGGUUUAAUCUUGGGAAUAGCUCUCCUCUCCGGAAGACUUCGUGCUCAUCUCUAACCCAAAGAUUUGAACAGGUACCCUGACCAACGAAUAUUCAAAUAGAGAGAGGACCGAGUCCAGGGCGGGGUGUCUUGAAAGAUAUUUACAGCGUGUCUCUGGGUUCUAAAAACGAACUUUUUCUUUUUUCCAGCAGAAAUGUUGUCAUCCUAGUUCUUGCAACUACUCAAUUGCUGGGACACUGUGGUUAUAUUAUAAACUGGUAAAAGUAAAAUGCUAAGGAGUAAGAUCAAACGGAGUAUUUUGUUUGUUUUUCUUUUUCAAAUGCCUGCAUUUUGAGCUAACUCUGGUUUCCUACAAUCUUGUGCUAGGGAAGGUCAGCCAAGAAUACUCGUAAUCUGCUCAUUAUGAGACUGAAAUCUGUCUCGUGUUAAAUAAAGCAUGUCUGCAUA